UACGGAGGGUGCAAGCGUUAUUCGGAAUUACUGGGCGUAAAGCGUGCGCAGGCGGUUUGGUAAGUCCGGUGGGAAAGCCCCGAGCUCAACUUGGGAAUUGCAGUGGAUACUGGCAGGCUGGAGUACGGUAGAGGAAGGUGGAAUUCCCGGUGUAGCAGUGAAAUGCGUAGAUAUCGGGAGGAACACCUGUGGCGAAAGCGGCUCACUGGACCACAACUGACGCUGAGGCGCGAAAGCUAGGGGAGCAAACAGG
rnacentral:rRNA from 1 species